ACGGGUGAGUAAUAUAUAGUUAAUCUGCCUCAAAGAAGAGAAUAAUUGUUAGAAACGACUUGUAACUCUCUAUAUGCCUUUAUUACAUAAGUAAGCAAGGGAAACAUUUAUGGCUUUGAGAUGAGACUGUACAGUAUCAGUUAGUUGGUGAGGUAAUGGCUCACCAAGACAAUGACACUUAACUGGUUUGAGAGGAUGAUCAGUCACACUGGAACUGUGACACGGUCCAGACUCCUACGGGAGGCAGCAGUGGGGAAUAUUGCACAAUGGAGGAAACUCUGAUGCAGCAACGCCGCGUGGAGGAUGACACAUUUCGGUGCGUAAACUCCUUUUAUAUGAGAAGAUAAUGACGGUAUCAUAUGAAUAAGCACCGGCUAACUCCGUGCCAGCAGCCGCGGUAAUACGGGGGGUGCAAGCGUUACUCGGAAUCACUGGGCGUAAAGAGCAUGUAGGCUGAUAGAUAAGUUGGAAGUGAAAUCCUAUGGCUUAACCAUAGAACUGCUUCCAAAACUGUCUGUCUAGAGUAUGGGAGAGGUAGAUGGAAUUUCUGGUGUAGGGGUAAAAUCCGUAGAGAUCAGAAGGAAUACCGAUUGCGAAGGCGAUCUACUGGAACAUUACUGACGCUGAGAUGCGAAAGCGUGGGGAGCAAACAGGAUUAGAUACCCUGGUAGUCCACGCCCUAAACGAUGCACACUAGUUGUUGCUAUGCUAGACAUAGCAGUAAUGCAGUUAACACAGUAAGUGUGCCGCCUGGGGAGUACGGUCGCAAGAUUAAAACUCAAAGGAAUAGACGGGGACCCGCACAAGCGGUGGAGCAUGUGGUUUAAUUCGACGAUACGCGAAGAACCUUACCUGGCCUUGACAUAGAAAGAACUUACUAGAGAUAGUUUGGUGCUAGCUUGCUAGAACUUUCAUACAGGUGCUGCACGGCUGUCGUCAGCUCGUGUCGUGAGAUGUUGGGUUAAGUCCCGCAACGAGCGCAACCCUCGUGUUUAGUUACUAACAGUUCGGCUGAGGACUCUAGACAGACUGCCUACGCAAGUAGGAGGAAGGUGAGGACGACGUCAAGUCAUCAUGGCCCUUACGGCCAGGGCUACACACGUGCUACAAUGGGGCAUACAAAGAGCAGCAAUACGGUGACGUGGAGCAAAUCUCAUAAAAUGCCUCCCAGUUCGGAUUGUAGUCUGCAACUCGA
rnacentral:rRNA from 1 species